rnacentral:rRNA from 1 species
GUUCAAGCUACUAAGGGCUAUUGGUGGAUGCCUUGGCGCUGGAAGCCGAUGAAGGACGUGGAAGACUGCGAAAAGCUACGGGAAGUUGUCAAACAAGCUUUGAUCCGUAGAUGUCCGAAUGGGGAAACCCAAUUUAUUUUAAUAAAUUACUCCUACCUGAAUAUAUAGGGUAGGUAGAGGGAACUAGGGGAAGUGAAACAUCUCAGUACCUAGAGGAAAGGAAAGCAAAAGCGACUCCCUGAGUAGUGGCGAGCGAAACGGGAAGAGCCUAAACCAAAUUAAUGUUAAAGACUGAUGUCGUUGUUUUUUUGGUGUUGUGGGGUCCUUUUGAGAGAGCAUCAGAUCUUUCAAUAAGUUACAAAAAAAUAGAUUAGAAAAAUUAUCUGGAAAGUUAAACCAUAGAGUGUAACAGUCACGUAUUCGAAAAUCUAUUUACUUAUUAAGGCCACCCCGAGUAACAAGGAAGAUACUCCUUGUGAAUCUGCGAGGACCACCUCGUAAGGCUAAGUACAACCAGCGACCGAUAGUGAACAAGUACCGUGAGGGAAAGGUGAAAAGAACCCCGGCGAGGGGAGUGAAAUAGUACCUGAAACCAAUAGCUUACAAGCAGUAGGAGGGAUAUUUAUAUCCUGACUGCCUGCCUUUUGAAGAAUGAGCCUACGAGUUAUCCGUAUAUGGCAAGGUUAAGGAGUAAAUCCGUAGCCGCAGCGAAAGCGAGUUUUAAUAGAGCGUCUAGUCGUAUGCGAUAGACCCGAAGCCAAGUGAUCUAUCCAUGAGCAGGGUGAAGCGGAAGUAAGAUUUCGUGAAGGCCCGAACCCACUGAUGUUGCAAAAUCAGGGGAUGACUUGUGGAUAGGGGUGAAAGGCCAAUCAAACUUGGUGAUAGCUGGUUCUCUCCGAAAUGUCUUUAGGGACAGCGUUAUAUGUUGCGCUUUGGAGGUAGAGCACUGAUUGAGCUAGGGGGCCAACAAGCUUACUGAACUCAGUCAAACUCCGAAUGCCAAAGUGUAUAAGUAUAGCAGUGAGCCUAUGGGGGAUAAGCUCCAUAGACGAGAGGGAAACAACCCAGAUCAUCAGCUAAGGCCCCUAAAUGUAUGUUAAGUGUGAAACGAUGUGAGAGUGUUCAGACAGCCAGGAGGUUGGCUUAGAAGCAGCCAUUCCUUUAAAGAGUGCGUAACAGCUCACUGGUCGAAUGUUCUCGCGCGGAAGAUGUAACGGGGCUAAACAUACUGCCGAAGCUAUGGGAUUUUACUAAUCUUGAUAUUUAUAUCCAGGAGGUAAGAUCGGUAGGAGAGCGUUGUAUGGACAGCGAAGCGGUAACGUAAGUUAAUCGUGGAGACCAUACAAGUGAGAAUGUAGGCAUGAGUAGCGAAGGAAGAGUGAGAAUCUCUUCCGCCGAAUGUCCAAGGGUUCCUGGGGAAGGUUCGUCCGCCCAGGGUUAGUCGGGACCUAAGGCGAGGUCGAGAGACGUAGUCGAUGGAUAACAGAUUGAUAUUUCUGUACCACUAAUAGCACGCCCAAAUCGAAUAUAUGUUGCUAAGGAAAUCCCUUCGGGGCCUACCGAACCACAUAUUACUAGAUUAGCGAUGGAGUAACGGAGAAGGAUAGAUGAUCCCAGGCGAUGGUUGUCCUGGGGUAAGUGAGUAGGGUAGUUAAUAGGUAAAUCCGUUAACGAUAAGCCUGAGACACGAUGCCGAGCCGCUUUUUAGGCGAAGUCAUUGAUUCCAUGCUUCCAAGAAAAACUUCUAGUUAGUUUUAUUAGUGCCCGUACCCCAAACCGACACAGGUGGACAAGUAGAGAAUACUAAGGCGAGCGAGAGAACUCUGGUUAAGGAACUCGGCAAAAUAGUUCCGUAACUUCGGGAGAAGGAACGCCCAAGUAAAGUGAUUAAUUAACUUUAUGAGCUUGAAAGGGCCGCAGUGAUCAGACUCAAGCGACUGUUUAUCAAAAACACAGGAGGAUGCAAAGUUCUAAUACAACGUAUAUCCUCUGACACCUGCCCGGUGCUGGAAGGUUAAGUGGAGAGGUUAGCUUCGGCAAAGCUUUGAAAUUAAGCCCCAGUAAACGGCGGCCGUAACUAUAACGGUCCUAAGGUAGCGAAAUUCCUUGUCGGGUAAGUUCCGACCUGCACGAAUGGUGUAACGAUUUGAGUACUGUCUCAACCAGAGACUCGGCGAAAUUGCAAUGUGAGUAAAGAUGCUCACUAUGCGCGACAGGACGGAAAGACCCCGGAACCUUUACUGCAACUUGAUAUUGAAUGUUGGUGUGCAGUAUGCAGGAUAAGUGGGAGACUUUGAAACAGCGGCGCUAGUCGUUGUGGAGUCAUCCUUGAGAUACCACUUUCUUCAUAUUGACCUUCUAACCUAGAUCCGUUAUCCGGAUCAGGGACAUUGUCUGGUAGGCAGUUUCACUGGGGCGGUGGCCUCCUAAAAAGUAACGGAGGCGCUCUAAGGUCACCUCAGCGUGGACGGCAAUCACGCAUUGAGUGUAAGUGCAAAAGGUGGCUUGACUGUGACACAAACAAGUGAAGCAGGUACGAAAGUAGGAACUAGUGAUCCCAUGGUUGCAUGUGGGUGCGCCAUGGCUCAUCGGCUAAAAGGUACUCCGGGGAUAACAGGCUUAUACCCCCCAAGAGUCCAUAUCGACGGGGGUGUUUGGCACCUCGAUGUCGGCUCUUCUCAUCCUGGGGCUGGAGCAGGUCCCAAGGGUUAGGCUGUUCGCCUAUUAAAGAGGAACGCGAGCUGGGUUCAGAACGUCGUGAGACAGUUCGGUCCCUAUCCGUCGCGCACGUAAGAAAUUUGAAGAAAGUUGUCCCUAGUACGAGAGGACCGGGAUGAACGAUCCGCUGGUGUGCCAGUUGUUCUGCCAAGAGCACCGCUGGUUAGCUACGAUCGGACAGGAUAAGCACUGAAAGCAUCUAAGUGCGAAGCCCCUUCUAAGAUAAGAUUUCUCAUCGGGUUAACCGAUUAAGACUCCUUAUAGAACAUGAGGUUGAUAGGUCAGAAGUGUAAUUACAGUAAUGUAUGUAGCUGACUGAUACUAAUAAGUCGAGGGCUUGAAUUU